CAAGAAGUAGUUUAAUUAGAAUACCAGCUUUGGGUGCUGGUGGUGGGGAGUGGCUCCUUCUUCUUGA
rnacentral:tRNA from 1 species